rnacentral:rRNA from 1 species
AGAUUGAACGCUAGCGGGAUGCUUUACACAUGCAAGUCGAACGGCAGCGCGGACUUCGGUCUGGCGGCGAGUGGCGAACGGGUGAGUAAUAUAUCGGAACGUGCCCAGUAGCGGGGGAUAACUACGCGAAAGCGUGGCUAAUACCGCAUACGGCCCUACGGGGGAAAGGGGGGAUUCUUCGGAACCUCUCACUAUUGGAGCGGCCGAUAUCAGAUUAGCUAGUUGGUGAGGUAAAGGCUCACCAAGGCGACGAUCUGUAGCUGGUUUGAGAGGACGACCAGCCACACUGGGACUGGAGACACGGCCCAGGACUCCUACGGG